UGGCAGUGAUGACAAAAGGCCGGUCUUACAGCUGCUUUGGGUUCCAUCCAAUGGUAGUAGGAUGAUGUUGAUAAUCAUAAGGUUUUUCUGAGCCAA